UCUUUCGGCCGAACACGGGAGCAGACACAAGAUCGGACCGGUAGAGCCCAGCGCCGGUCACCCGAUACCUGUAUUGUGACAUGUUCAAUACAUAUGCCAUGUAACCAAUCUACCCUUACUACUCAAGAUGCAAAUAUCCUGUACAACGCUCUGUGAAUAAUAAAGUGCAAAAUGUCGCUGUU